CAGUAGCCACGGUAAUACCGAGGUCCCGAGCGCUGUUCGGAUUCACUGGGCGUAAAGGGUGUGUAGGAGGCUUGGUAAGUCAGGUGUGAAGUCCCGCAGCUCAACUGCGGAACUGCAUUCGAUACUGCCGAGCUAGAGGAUCGGAGGGGGAAGCGGAAUUCUUGGUGUAGCGGUGAAAUGCGUAGAUAUCAAGAGGAACACCGGUGGCGAAGGCGGCUACCUGGACUGACACUGACACUGAGGCGCGAAAGCGUGGGGAGCAAACAGGAUUAGAUACCCCCGUAGUCCCUGUCUCUUAUAC
rnacentral:rRNA from 1 species